rnacentral:lncRNA from 1 species
UUGAACCACAUAUAAUGAAAUGGACUAGAAACAAAAUUGUGUGACCAGGUCCACAAUCGUUCAUAGAAGCAUCACUCUAUAAUCAAAUAAAAACACAAUUAAGAAAAUCCAAGUUAAUAUAAAAAUCUCACCUCCAUCAAUUUCUUCCGAGCUUUCUCAAGCUCAUAUGUAAUUUCACACUCUUUGAUGAUUAGAGCUUGGUUGAAAUCAUUUUACUUUUCUAGUGACUCUUCGAGCUCAACCACUUUUGCUUUGAGAUUUUCAUACUCAACGUGAUGAUACCAUCACUAAUAUAUUAUUCCCGGACCAACUUGUUAAAUUAGAACAAACUAUAUUAUAAUUUAAACUCAUCC